CCUCCCAGCUUUGUUUGCUGAAUACUUUUUUCACUCUUGUUUUUACAGAUCUUUCCCUAGAAGACAAGGAUGAGGACGUCCACAGCCAAAGGACAGCACAGUUGCCAGAGAUGGCGUUACUCACCCUCUCAGAGUGCCUGACGGGUCCCUGCUAACUCGUGUGCGGUCACUGCCCCCACCCCGUGGAGGUCGUUCCCGGCUGGAGGAGGGCCCUGCCCAUUCCAGGCCUUCCUGGACCCUUGUGGCUCCACCUUUUCGUGACACUCUCCUCUGAACAACUACAACCUUCCCUAAGACAACCUGCUGAGAGUCACAGCUUGACUGGCCUAUGGGGCCGUGGCCCAGAACCACCUGAGAGACAGCAGGUUUUUAUAGAGAAAUAUUGACUUCCAGAAGAAGAGUCCUGCUGGGAAGCAAAAGGGUCGAGCAGGUGCAUGUCCUUGCAGUUAAUUUCCCAGGCUGUUUCCAGAGGAUGACACGUUAUGUUAAGCCAAUGUCCCUUCUUCUGCCCCCCAUCAGGCGUAGACCCCCUCAGGGUCCGUUGGGAAUAUUUACCUUCCUCAAUCAGGUUUCAUCUUCCCCCUGAAGGCUUCUCCUGAUGGUGACUCCAUCUCUGUAUCCGCAGAGCUCAUUAGCUUGUUUUCAGUGUUACAGCCUCCUGCACACCUUCUCUCACUGUUCAUAUCACACUGAGGGGUAACCGUUUGUCCUUCCAUUGCUUCUUUUUUUCCCCCCGUUUCUUAUUCAUUUUUGAGAGACAGCACGAGCAGGAGAGGAUCAGAGAGAGAUG